rnacentral:rRNA from 1 species
UGGUCAAGCUACUAAGGGCGUACGGUGGAUGUCUUGGUGUCAGGAGGCGAUGAAGGACGUGGCUGGCUGCGAUAAGCCCCGGGGAGCCGUCAAACAGGCUUAGAUCCGGGGAUUUCCGAAUGGGGAAACCCACCGGGAUUCAUCCCGGUAUCCUGUGCUGAAUCCAUAGGCACAGGAGGCGAACGAGGGGAACUGAAACAUCUAAGUACCCUCAGGAAGAGAAAGCAAAUGCGAUUCCCUCAGUAGUGGCGAGCGAACGGGGAAGAGCCCAAACCAGAUAACUGUCAUAGCCCGUGAGCGUUGGUUAUCUGGGGUUGCAGGGUUCGACCGGGCGGGAUCACGGACCUGCCGGGAAGUUACAAACCUGAUUGAUAGCAGAAAAGGCUGGAAUGCCUUGCCAUAGAGGGUGAUAGCCCCGUAUACGAAAUUGAUCAGGCUUCCUUGGUCGAAUUCCUGAGUACCACGGGACACGUGAAAUCUUGUGGGAAACCGGGAGGACCAUCUCCCAAGGCUAAAUACUACCUGGCGACCGAUAGUGAACUAGUACCGUGAGGGAAAGGUGAAAAGAACCCCGGCGAGGGGAGUGAAAUAGAACCUGAAACCGUAUGCCUACAAGCUGUGGGAGGGCUAUGCCUCGGGCUUUCGGGCCCAAGGAAUGCCUGACCGCGUGCCUUUUGCAUAAUGAGUCAGUGAGUUACUCUGCGUAGCAAGGUUAAGCCGGCAGGUGGAGCCGAAGCGAAAGCGAGUCCGAACAGGGCGAAUGAGUUGCGUGGAGUAGACCCGAAACCAGGUGAUCUACCCAUGGCCAGGGUGAAGCAGGCGUAAAAGCCUGUGGAGGCCCGAACCGGUGUCGGUUGAAAACGGCUCGGAUGAGCUGUGGGUAGGGGUGAAAGGCCAAUCAAACCUGGAGAUAGCUGGUUCUCCCCGAAAUAUAUUUAGGUAUAGCCUCGUAAACUCUGUGGCGGAGGUAGAGCACUGGAUGGGCUAGGGGUCCUACAAGACUACCAAACCCAACCAAACUCCGAAUGCCGCCAACAUUUAUUACGGGAGUCAGACUACGGGCGAUAAGGUCCGUGGUCGAAAGGGAAACAGCCCAGACCGCCAGCUAAGGCCCCCAAAUGUGUGCUAAGUGGGAAAGGAUGUGGAAACGCUAAAACAGCCAGGAGGUUGGCUUAGAAGCAGCCAUCCUUUAAAGAAAGCGUAACAGCUCACUGGUCGAGUGGUUCCGCGCCGAAAAUUCAACGGGGCUCAAGCACACUGCCGAAGCUGCGGGUGGACGGCUUUACGCCGUUCACGGUAGGGGAGCGUUCCACCCCGGGUCGAAGCCGGACCGAAAGGACCGGUGGACUGGGUGGAAGUGCUUAUGCUGACAUGAGUAGCGAUAAAACGGGUGAAAAACCCGUUCGCCGGAAGCCUAAGGGUUCCUGGGCAAGGUUAAUCCACCCAGGGUUAGUCGGAUCCUAAGCCGAGGCCGAAAGGCGUAGGCGAUGGCAAACAGGUUAAUAUUCCUGUACCACCUGUAUUGCGUUACCAGCGAAGGGGGGACGCAGAAGGGUAGGCCAUCCUGCUGACGGAAUAGCAGGUCCAAGCCUGUAGGAGGGUUUCCCAGGCAAAUCCGGGAAGCCGUAACUCUGAGAGGUGAUGGGGAGGGGUUUUUAACCCCGCAAACUGGCUGAUCCCACACUGCCGAGAAAAGCCUCUAAGCGAGUAAUACAGGUGUCCGUACCGCAAACCGACACAGGUAGGCAGGGAGAGAAUCCCGAGGCGCUUGAGUGAUCCCUCGUUAAGGAACUCGGCCAAUUGACCCCGUAACUUCGGGAGAAGGGGCGCCCUCAUUAGGUGAAAGACUUCGCGUCUGGAGCCGAAGGGGGCCGCAGAGAAAUGGCCGCGGCGACUGUUUACUAAAAACACAGGUCUCUGCUAAGUCGUAAGACGACGUAUAGGGACUGACGCCUGCCCGGUGCUGGAAGGUUAAGGGGAAGUGUCAUCCUGAGCUUGUCCCGGGAGAAGCACCAAACCGAAGCCCCGGUAAACGGCGGCCGUAACUAUAACGGUCCUAAGGUAGCGAAAUUCCUUGUCGGGUAAGUUCCGACCUGCACGAAAGGCGUAACGACUGCGGCACUGUCUCAACGAGGGGCUCAGCGAAAUUGUGAUACCGGUGAAGACGCCGGUUACCCGCGGCAAGACGGAAAGACCCCGUGCACCUUCACUACAACUUGGUAUUGGAUUUCGGGGCAAUUUGUGUAGGAUAGGUGGGAGGCUGUGAAGCCGGGGCGCUAGCUCCGGUGGAGCCGUCCUUGAAAUACCACCCUGGUUGUUCUGGAAUUCUAACCCAGGCCCGUUAUCCGGGCCGGGGACAGUGCCUGGUGGGUAGUUUGACUGGGGCGGUCGCCUCCUAAAAGGUAACGGAGGCGCGCGAAGGUUCCCUCAGGCUGAUUGGAAACCAGCCGUAGAGUGCAAAGGCAUAAGGGAGCUUGACUGCGAGACUGACAGGUCGAGCAGGUGCGAAAGCAGGUCUUAGUGAUCCGGUGGUUCCGUAUGGAAGGGCCAUCGCUCAACGGAUAAAAGGUACGCCGGGGAUAACAGGCUUAUCUCCCCCAAGAGUUCAUAUCGACGGGGAGGUUUGGCACCUCGAUGUCGGCUCAUCGCAUCCUGGGGCUGAAGUAGGUCCCAAGGGUUCGGCUGUUCGCCGAUUAAAGCGGUACGUGAGCUGGGUUUAAAACGUCGCAAGACAGUUUGGUCCCUAUCUGCCGUGGGCGGAGGAUACUUGAGGGGAGCUGUCCCUAGUACGAGAGGACCGGGACGGACGAACCUCUAGUGUACCAGUUGUCACGCCAGUGGCACCGCUGGGUAGCUAUGUUCGGAAGGGAUAACCGCUGAAGGCAUCUAAGCGGGAAGCCCCCCCCAAGAUGAGGUAUCCCGUGGUUUAAACCACCUGAAGAUCCCUUGUAGACUACAAGGUUGAUAGGCCGGAUGUGUAAGCGCAGCGAUGCGUUUAGCUAACCGGUACUAAUAGAUCGUGAGGCUUGACCG